rnacentral:rRNA from 1 species
GGCGGCGUAGCUUAACACAUAGCAAGUCGAACGGAGAUAAGAGAAAGCUUGCUUUUCUUAGUCUUAGUGGCGGACGGGUGAGGUAACGCGUGGGUAACCUACCCUGUACAGGGGGAUAGCAGUUGGAAACGACUGAUAAAACCGCAUAAAACGGCAGUACCGCAUGGUACAACCGUCAAAUAGUUCAUAGGUACAGGAUGGGCCCGCGUCUGAUUAGCUAGUUGGUGGGGCAACGGCCUACCAAGGCGACGAUCAGUAGCCGGCCUGAGAGGGUGAACGGCCACAUUGGGACUGAGACACGGCCCAAACUCCUACGGGAGGCAGCAGUGGGGAAUAUUGGACAAUGGGGGAAACCCUGAUCCAGCGAACCGCCGCGUGAGUGAAGAAGUAUUUCGGUAUGUAAAGCUCUAUCAGCAGGGAAGAUGAUGACGGUACCUGACUAAGAAGCACCGGCUAAAUACGUGCCAGCAGCGGC